AAAUUGAAGAGUUUGAUCAUGGCUCAGAUUGAACGCUGGCGGCAGGCCUAACACAUGCAAGUCGAACGGUAACAGGAAGCAGCUUGCUGCUUYGCUGACGAGUGGCGGACGGGUGAGUAAUGUCUGGGAAACUGCCYGAUGGAGGGGGAUAACUACUGGAAACGGUGGCUAAUACCGCAUAACGUCGCAAGACCAAAGAGGGGGACCUUCGGGCCUCUUGCCAUCAGAUGUGCCCAGAUGGGCCCAGAUGGG
rnacentral:rRNA from 1 species